AGAGAGAGAGAGAGAGAGAGAGAGGAAGUAAGGCUGAUCUUGCAGUAGGCGUUAUUGAUUUCGAUACUUAACGCGAACAGCAGACAUUCAUACAGUUUAUAAGAUACUCGGAUAUUCAGACACUUCUUAGCGGCGUUUGUUUGGACUUUCUCCAAAUUCGAAAUCCAUAGCUCGAGGGGGUAAAGCUGCACACAGUUUGAGUGUUGAGGGUCCAGCGGAAGUGCGCUCGGAGGAAGAGAAGGCGCUCGUCGGUGAAGCUGUAGCUCGGAGUGAGUCCAGCAUGAGUGAAGACAGACCUGAGGUGGAGCUGUUCGUGAAGGCAGGAAGUGAUGGUCAGAGCAUUGGGAACUGCCCGUUCUCUCAGCGGCUCUUCAUGGUCCUGUGGCUGAAGGGCGUGACCUUUAAUGUGACCACCGUGGACAUGAAGAGGAAGCCAGACAUUCUCAAAGAUCUGGCUCCUGGCGCUCAGCCUCCUUUCCUGCUGUACGGCACCGAGGUGAAGACGGACACCAACAAGAUCGAAGAGUUCCUGGAGGAAAACCUCUGCCCUCCUAAAUACCCUCGGCUGGCAGCUCGCAACCCUGAGUCGAACACCGCGGGUCUGGACGUGUUCUCCAAGUUCUCUGCCUACAUCAAGAACUCAAACCCGCAGAUGAACGACAAUCUGGAGAAGGGUUUACUGAAGGCCCUGAAGAAGCUGGAUGACUACCUGAGCUCUCCUCUGCCGGACGAGAUCGAUGAGAACAGCGCUGAUGAUGAUGUCACUUCCUCCCGGCCCUUCCUGGACGGUCAGGAGCUUACUCUGGCCGACUGUAACCUGCUGCCCAAGCUGCACAUCGUCAAAGUGGUGUGUCUGAAGUUUCGAGGGUUCUCCAUCCCUCGCUCGCUGACGUCUCUGUGGCGGUACCUGGACGCGGCGUAUGCCCGAGAGGAGUUCUCCUCCACCUGUCCCAGCGAUGAGGAGAUACACGUGGCCUACUCCUCCGUCGUGAAGGCGCUCAAAUAGAAGAACACACACACACACUCACACACACACACACACUCCUUCCAGAUUGUCCCAGUGUUUCACUUGUAUGUUCCUCAUGAGGUCUCACUUUUCAACUAAACCUGGUCUAAAUCGUACUGCCUUCACAUGCUCUCUGAAUUAUGGCAAAUAUGAGUUUCAUAGAAAAAGAGAGCACAUGAAUUCAAUUAUUCUGAAGGAUUUGGGCUGUGUGUGCUUUAUUAGUAGAUUUACCUGCAACAGCUUCAUUGCCUUGUCAUUAAAGUAGUAGCUUAUCUAAAUAUUAAUAAUCCUUUAAAGCAUAUUCUAUUUUUUAUACACAGCGAAAAUAGCAUGCGUUUCACCAAUAUUCCAGAAUAGAAUAGAAUAGAAUAGAAUAGAAUAUCUAGGUGCAGUAAAACUAUACGGUGGGAAACUAUGUCCAUUUCAGUCUGAAAGCAACCUUAACUUGUCUACAUAAUGCUUUUGUUGUGAAUGUGGUUAUUAACAAUGGCAUCCUCAAUUCUUGACAACAAAGCACCUGAACACAACAAGCUCGUAAUCAAACUUAAGAAGUGCGCAUGAUCAUAUUUCCAAUAGCGUGUGAAGGCAGCAUUAUAGUUCAUAUUUCCUUAAAGCAGCUGAACACAUACAGUACAAUAAUCAUCAAAUGUUUCAGCUUACUAAUAGUGGGUGUUUUUCAGUGGGUUCUGGACGAGUGCAUUGCUAGCCGUUACAGACAGGAAGUUGUUGCCUCAUUCCUCCCAUUGCUGUCCCUCCCUCUCGCUCUGCCGCUCUGUAAUGACAGCUUUUUGCUCACAGCUGCUUUGGUCACGAACAUUUCAGAAACUGUUUUAAGCUGCUUUUACAUUCCAUAUAUGACGUUACAAAAUCAUGAAGUUAUCAUAAAAGUAGCCCAAAUGAAUCCUGUGUAAAGGUUUAUACUGGUUUAUAUGUGAGAAGUAAAAAUCCCAGUCGUCUCAUCUCGUUGCUAUAUGAUCUGAUGUAUUUCAAAUUUGAGUCACUAGAAUAUUCUUCCAUCUCUAAUUAUGACUGAAACUUCCACAUUGAGAAAACUCGUAUUUAUUGUCUGGGGAGAGUUAUGAAAAACAUGCACAUUUAUUGUCUUCUGAAAAAAUAGGAAACGAGUGACAGCAACAACUGCUGCCUUUUUAAGCUGAUUCGGCCUGUUUCUAAGAUGACCUUAACACAAUAUUUCUCUAUGCAGUAUCAUGCUUUAUCCCCAGUCCUCUCCCGUGCACUUCUGUUCUCACUUCCUCUGAAACACUGGUCCUUUCCAGAUCUCUCUCUCACUCAGAUGGACAACACAACAUCAGGCCAGAUAUUGAUUAGUUAGGAUUUUAUUGAUUAGAGGGAUGUUACAACAAAGUCACUUUCUUCCUGCAUUUCUAACAUUGUUAUUCAGCAAUACAGUUUAUAAUAAAGUUCAAAUAAAAAUAAA